UACAGAGGCCACAAGCGUUAGACGGAAUCACUGGGCUUAAAGCGUGUGUAGGCGGGAUGGUAAGUACCUUGUGAAAUCCCACAGCUUAACGGUGGGAAGCGUGCCGAUACGCCGAAACUGGAGGCUGGGCGAGGGUGGUGGAAUUGCCGGUGUAGUGGUGAAAUGCGUAGAGAUCGGCAGGAACACCCGUGGUGAAAACGGCCACCUAGCCCAGUCCUGACGCUGAGGCGCGACAGCGUGGGGAGCGAACGGG
rnacentral:rRNA from 1 species